AAAGAUUCCUGGUGGAUCAACACAUGCAGCCAAGGUAUGAUCUCCAGUAACUCUUGUUCAAUUAGACAACAAUUCUUCCAUUGCUUGAAGUUGCAUAACUGCAUGGACAUAUUUUAAUUCUCAUCAGUUUAAGCAAAAAAUUUCAAAGUAAAUUUCACAUAAAGAUACCAUUGUGCACAAAACAAUCCAGAUCAUAUAUGUCUAGUUUUGUAAAGCACGGUUCUGCUACAACCUAAAAUAACAAUUGAAUUAUCAUAUCAGUCACCAUCUUAUGUGAAGGAACUAAGCAUAUCACUGUAACAGCUACUUUCAUCUAAGGAUUGCAUGAUUAAACGCAUAUGAUUCACAUUUUUGUGGCAAACACAAUCUGAUUCAAAGUUUGCACUUUAAUACUGAAGGUUGGCUGGGCAACCACACUACAUUUGGCAUUCCAAAGCAUAGGUGUGGUUUAUGGCGACAUGGGUACUUCUCCUCUCUAUGUUUUCUCCAGCACCUUUACAAACGGGAUUAACAACACAGAUGACCUUCUUGGAGUCAUGUCUCUAAUUAUCUACACUGUGAUUCUCCUUCCCUUGAUAAAAUAUUGUUUCAUUGUCCUGCGAGCUAACGACAAUGGUGAUGGUAAGUAAAUAUGCUCCAUAUGACCAUAAGUUUUCUCAACACAACUUCUAGUCAGUGCUUUAAAGGCGACAAGGAAGGCGAGCUGUGUACGCCUUAUCGCCUAGGCAUCAAUGCGGACCUGUUUCCCAAGGCGAGCUGUGUCCGCCCGCCUAGGCAAAAAGAGUUUUUAAUAACUUAAGAAGAAAAUGUUUUUUUACAACUUAGAAGCAAUGUCCUUAAAGAGAAUGUUAAAAAAAUAGAAAAGAAUGGUCACAAAGGGCGACAGGAGUGAAAAUUUGAUAAAUCAACUAGACCUGAAGUCUCCCACCACAUUGGUUUCGACUGCAGUAUAUUUUAUUUUUUGAUUCUGAAAAAAAAACCACAAUAGGGUUACCUUUACUGAGGAUUAUUGAACAUAAGGAUAUAUACGUAUGUAUAGAGACUGUAGUAGCUUUUAACAAUAUAUUUCAAAAUCAUUAAAAUGCUACGUCUGAAAGCAUUAAGCACAUAAUUUGCUAAGAGAAAUUAAAAACCACAAAAGUCAAAUAUUAUUAUUUGUUUCAUGGGACAGUUGACAUGUAUUAUCAAUUUAUGAUAUUGCAGGAGGAACAUUUGCACUUUAUUCAUUGAUAUCACGGUAUGCUAGGAUUAGCUUGAUACCUAAUCAGCAGGCUGAAGAUGCAAUGGUCUCUCGGUAUAAGUUGGAAUCCCCCACAAAUCGUAUCAAGAGGGCUCAUUGGAUCAAGAACAAGAUGGAAAACAGUCCAAAAUUUAAGGUCAUGCUUUUCCUAGUGACAGUCCUGGCAACAUCCAUGGUGAUUGGUGAUGGUGUUCUAACCCCAUGUAUCUCAGGUCAGUUCAAUCUCCUUUCUGGUUUUGCUCAUAUCUGAUAAGAAAUAUUGCAUACAUCGGAUAGUCGAAACACAUGUUGAUUCUUCAAAUAAAUAAAUCAUGAUAUCACUUUUAUGAACUGAUUCGACACGCACUCACUCAUGCUAAAAACACCCGCUGAGUUCAAAUAUGAAAGAGGAAAACUGUCAAUCAGAAUAACAAAACAGAGAGCUAUCCUGCUAAUCUGCCAGGCAUUUUCAUUUGCCACUAUAAUAUAUUUAUAAGGAAAAAACCCACAAGUAUUUCUUUUGCAGUGCUUAGUGCAGUUGGAGGGAUCAAGCAAAAAGCAACAACAUUGACUCAAGGUACACCAAUCUAUGCAUCAUACCAACGAGAGUUACAGAAGUUUAAAUAAAAUUACUAUUUACGAUGAAAACAUCUGACAUUUUUUACCAAUCAACAGGACAGAUUGCUGGCGUCACAAUAGCCAUUUUGAUUGUCCUCUUUCUUGUUCAGCGGUUUGGCACAGACAAAGUUGGUUACACAUUUGCCCCUAUAAUCUUGACAUGGUUCAUCUUGAUUGCUGGUAUUGGAGUUUAUAAUUUGAGCAAACAUGAUACCAGUGUUUUGAAAGCAUUCAAUCCAAAAUAUAUUGUGGACUAUUUCAAAAGAAAUGGAAAGCAGGGAUGGAUUUCUCUUGGAGGGGUUAUUUUAUGCAUUACAGGUACCUUUGCUCCCAGAGUAUGUAACGAGCUCCGAAAUAUACCUGGGUCUCUAUGAUAUCAGUAUUUUGCUAGCAACAAAAUAUGUACAAUCUUUAUCAACUUUUUUGUAAUGUGGGUUACAUUUUUAUAAAACAGGAACGGAGGCGAUGUUUGCCGACCUUGGUCACUUCAAUGUUAGAGCCGUUCAGGUAAUUGAGCACAUUUCCCAAUUCUGAGCCUUUAAUUUUCUGAAUGCAUGCACCCACUGACUGACCCGUGGAGGAAAGAUUCUGGAAAGCUGUGCUUGUGGAGAAACUCCUUGAGUGUAUGGAGAAAAUAGUCCUAAAAAGCAAAAGAUAUUUUUCAUCUUCUAAAAGAGAUAGUUUGAAGCUUAAACUUCAAAAAUUGCUUUCUGUGUUGCUUCAACUAGGCAUUUAUGAUAAAGUUUUAUUGCACUACAGAUUGGUUUUUCAGUAGUUCUGUUCCCUUCAGUACUGCUAGCAUACAUUGGACAAGCUGCAUAUCUUCGUAUCCACCCAGAAAAUGUUGCAAAUACAUUCUACAAAUCAAUUCCAGGUAUGAACAUAUAAUAAUCAACUAAAGAAUGACAUGGAUUAUCAAUUGAAAGAUUAAAUCUAAUGUAAACUCAUGAAUUUUGUUGUCAGGUCCAUUAUAUUGGCCAACAUUUGUGGUGGCUGUAGCUGCUGCUAUAAUUGCAAGUCAAGCUAUGAUAUCUGGUGCCUUUGCAAUCAUAGCUCAGUCCCAAGUUCUAGGUUGCUUUCCACGAGUUCGUGUGACCCACACGUCAACAAAGUAUGAAGGACAAGUCUACAUCCCAGAGAUCAACUACGCGUUGAUGAUUUUAUGUGUAGCUGUUACAGCUAUUUUCCAAACAACAGAAAAGAUCGGCAAUGCAUAUGGUAAAUUCUCAACUCUAGAUAAAUAUCCCUCCCAAGUCCCAACCCAAGACAUUAACUAAGAAAAAAACAUAAUACAGUACCUGAACAAUCGUUUUAAUUAUAUUAAAUUACUUGAAGUUAUUUAAAGUCACAUGGACUUCAUCAAUACUAAAAAGCUGCAGUAAAGUUGUUCCCAACUUGAUAAGCGCACUCAUGUCUGCCUAGAUUGCAAACAAGUUGGAUGAAUAAGUUACUUUACUCCUCGAAGAACAUUACUUCUCUGGAUGUUAAAUAAUUGAAAUAACCUUACAAGCUUUAAGUAAGCACUCUUACCCACACAGGAUUCGAAUGGAAGAUUGUAUCAAAGAAGUAAAAUGUUGUUGUAGGAAUUCUCAAAAUAAAGACGAAUUUGGAACCAUUGAGUCUUCCUGUAUAUUCCCCAAUUUAGAACUUCCUAUAAAAUGAUCUGACUGAAUGAAAAAAGUUUAUUGAAUCUUCCCAAAAUUCUUAUUCCAUAAGGACUAUUUUUUUAUUUGUGCCAAAAUAACUCUUUAAAGGUAGUGAAAUCGGCUCAUAAGCACCCGGUGGCACUAAUAUGUUAUCACCACAAGAAUCUCAAGAAAGCAGAACAAAUGAAACCAUCAUAGCCAACAUUGUGGAGAUUGUUAGUGAUCUAUAGCUCAUAAGUAAGCUUGUCUUAGUGUAUGGAUGGAGACAAUUUGAUUAAAUCUAAAAGAAUAGUGGAAUUUUCAGUGGCAUGGUGAUCUGUCGGCUUUUUGUUAGAGCAAGUAGGGUCAUAAUCUGCUAGCUUAUCCUGGUAAAAUAAGAUACCAUACAACAAUGAUCCACAUCCGUAAAUGCAUCAUCUUAUUCCAUCCAUGAAUUAUCAGUUACAUCUUAUAUGAUCAGAUAUUCAUACCAUCAUCACAUUAUGCAGGUAUUGCUGUUGUUUUUGUGAUGUUUAUAACAACGCUUCUAGUCACUUUAGUAAUGGUUAUGAUAUGGAAGACAAGUCUGUUAUGGAUCGCACUCUUUCCAGUAAUAUUUGGUGGAGCAGAGCUCAUAUACUUAUCCUCGGCAUUCUACAAGUUUACUCAAGGUGGCUACUUGCCGCUAGUUUUUGCAGUGAUCUUAAUGUUUAUAAUGGCCACAUGGCACUAUGUCCAUGUUCAUCGGUACAAUUAUGAGCUCCAAAACAAGGUGUCAAGUAACUAUGUGGCAGAGUUGGCGUCAAGGCGAAAUCUGGCUAGGUUGCCAGGAAUAGGGUUUUUGUACUCUGAGCUUGUGCAAGGCAUCCCACCCAUACUUCCUCACUUGGUCGAAAAAGUACCUUCCAUCCAUGCAGUUCUUGUGAUUAUCUCAAUAAAGUACUUACCUAUCAGCAAAAUAGAAACAAGUGAGCGGUUCCUAUUCCGAUAUGUGGAGCCAACAGAUUACAGGGUAUUCCGAUGUGUGGUGCGUUAUGGAUACAAUGAUAAAGUAGAAGAUCCAAGAGAAUUCGAGGGAUUACUAAUUGAACAUUUGAAACAAUUCAUCCAUGAAGAAUCGUUCUACAGCCAAGGAGGAGAUCAUCUAACAGAAGAAUCAGGAGACGCGAUAGAGCCUUAUGCUGGAGUUCAAGAGGCAAGAUUGUCCAAAAGUUUUUCAGAUAGAAUUGCAACCUUCCCGCCAAAUGGAAGCAUUGAUGAGAUCCAAACAAUACAGAGAGAGAUGGAGGAUGGUGUUGUCCAUAUGCUAGGAGAAACUAACGUGGUGGCAGAGCCAAAUGCAGAUUUCUUUAAGAAGAUAAUAGUUGACUACGCCUACAAUUUCAUGAGGAAGAACUUCAGGCAACCAGAGAAGAUAACUUGUAUCCCUCAUAACAGACUGUUGCGGGUGGGAAUGACAUACGAGAUCUAGAGCAAUGCUAGACUUGGUAAAAUACCACAAUUUGAUCAAAACACCCAGACAGACAGUUAGAUACUGAGAGCAGAGUAUAUCUUUUUCAGUAUAAAGCAAGGAAAGACAAAUGCUAAAGUGAUACAGGCAAGUAACCAGCCUACCGGAGUGAAGUUAAAAGGGAUCGAAGGUUCUAUGCUUACAGAUGGAGAAACUAGAAGAAAGUAUGCAUAGUAGUUAUGCUUCUAGUGUUAUUGAUCAAUUGUCUUCUUUUGAAAAACUAGUGUAAAGUGCAUACCUAAAUAUUGUAGCAUACUGCCACAUAGUAAAAUGGAGAAUAACUGGUUCUUUUUUUAGUAUAAAAAAUCCAUAACAAUAUACUCCUAGAGGUUGUAUGUGGUGUUACAUUGUUACUUCGUUAGUCCUAGAAACAGAUGUGGGUAAAUUCUUCCUAAACCAGAGGGCCCAACUUGCUUCUAAAAGUUGAUGUGGACAAAAACACGCAUCAGCUAUUGCCACUGAUUCGAGGCUAAUAAUCAGCAAGCAAGGAGGAAAUUAAUUAUACCAACAGGACUAAACCGUCCUCACAACUCCCGAUCGAGCACAAACAAACAUUAUCACGGUGAUAAAACAGAGCAUCGAAACGGGCAUUUCAUCAAACAGUUGAAGGGGAACGGGAGAGAGAAGCCGGAAAACCACGAAAUUUGACGAGAAUGUACCUUGGCAUCCCAUCCCAGUCUGAUUCACUUGCUCAAGCGAACCAUUGCUGCCUCGACCGGUACCCAAUCCGGUACUUCGUUUCUGCGAUUCAGCAGAGUGCGUGCCCCCAGCGGAUGGUGUCAGAGUUCGGGGGGCGAAAAGGAAAUUGAAACGUGGGAAAAGCCGCGGUGAGAGACAAACGAGCUGACCAGCGGUGAUCAGAGAAAUCUGCGUCACUGCGUGAGGCUUCACCGAGACAUCGGAGGUGAUCGCCGCCGGUUGCCGCGGAAGCGAGGUGGAGAGAGAAAUUUCAAACUCGAGUCGCGCCUGCGGAAAAGCAACCGCGCGGCGGGCUGCAGGGGGUCACGGGCUCCUUCAAGCACAUUGAUGUGGGCUUGUCCCGGCC
rnacentral:lncRNA from 1 species